rnacentral:rRNA from 1 species
ACAACGGGUGGAGCCUGCGGUUUAAUUGGACUCAACGCCGGGCAGCUCACCGGAUAAGACAGCUGGAUGAUAGCCGGGCUGAAGACUCUGCUUGACUAGCUGAGAGGAGGUGCAUGGCCGUCGUCAGUUCGUACUGUGAAGCAUCCUGUUAAGUCAGGCAACGAGCGAGACCCACGCCAACAGUUGCCAGCAUGUCCUCCGGGAUGAUGGGGACACUGUUGGGACCGCUCUGCUAAAGAGGAGGAAGGAAUGGGCAACGGUAGGUCAGCAUGCCCCGAAUUAUCCGGGCUACACGCGGGCUACAAUGGUCAGGACAAUGGGUAUCGACACCGAGAGGUGGAGGCAAUCUCCUAAACCUGUCCUUAGUUCGGAUUGUGGGCUGCAACUCGCCCACAUGAAGCUGGAAUCCGUAGUAAUCGCGUUUCAAAAUAGCGCGGUGAAUAUGUCCCUGCUCCUU